rnacentral:tRNA from 1 species
GUGGCUAUGGUGAAGUGGUUAACACUCCGGACUGUGAAUCCGGCAUUCGAGGGUUCAAAUCCCUCUAGUCACCCCA